UUGAUCGUGUAUAUAGUUAUAUAUAUUAAUUGGACAUGUCAUAUUGUCCGUACAUGUCCAAUCUAUUUGUUCUAGUAAUGUAUUUAAUUUUUUAUUAUCUAUCAUAGUUUUAUAUUUUGUAUCAUCCUGUGUACAAUCCCCGACGCAAGCGAGCAUUACGGCCCGGUGAUCCGCUAGUGUCGUACCGAUCGCUGCUGUGAAUAGAUCUUUUGCGUGUGAUCGAGUGUAGAUGAGUGUCUGAUUGCAGAUCUAUGUUAAUAUCACCCAGUAUAUGAAGAUCAGUUUUUAUAGGGCACUUAUUCAUUAUUAGUCUGUUAAGUUCAUCGAUAAAUAAGUGUUUAUUAGUGUUAGGGGGACGAUAUAUUGCACAAAUGUUUGUAUUAUAGUUUGUGUGAGUGGUUAUUGUGAAUAAUACGUUUUCGAAAUAA